CACGCGCCACCAGAGGCGCACAGGACCGGCGACGGCUGCACUGGGGCUGGAACUGGCGGCAGGGCAUUGUCCGGGCACCCGGCUCUGGGCAUCAGGCCGCUCUUUAUCCUGAAUCCCCGCCUCCCUCUGCCCUGACGCCCUGCGCGCACUCCAUCUCAGGCCGCGAAGUGGGCCAUGUGAGCAGUCUCCCUCCUCCUUUCCCCGCGGGCGACACGAGGAGCCCAGGGCGCAGCGGGCUCGAAUCACAUAGUGCCCGCCCCGGAUUUCGUGCGCAGAGAGAACCCCAGGCCCCACAGGCCCUCCCACGCUCUGCCCAGAUCCCUGGGCAAGAGUCCACCGUCAGCAUCGUCGCUUAGUGCUCUCCCUGGUUAUUCCAGAAACACCAGUCGCUGAGGAUCUCUCACCUGCAGUUCCCUGCUGGAUCUUCAUUCUGACUGGUUGUACAGGCAUGGCAACAGCCUCUGUUCCACUUCUGGGGAGGCCUCAGGGACCUUUUAUUCAUGGCAGAAGACAAAGUGGGAGCAGGUUGCUGGGAGCACAAAAUGAGUUACCUCUGUGAAGUGCUCAAGAUCAGAGGCUAAUAUAUGGUAGGUGAUGUUCACCAUUUUUAUUCUCCCGCACAUGAAAAUACUUUAUUGCAACAUGUCUUAAAAUGUAGUUAUUCAAAAGUGUAGACUCCUGCAUAUUCUUUCAAAGUUUCAAUUUUGUUGAAGAUUUAAAAAAAAUUGACAUAUUCUACAUGACUCAAAUAGAAGUCAGUUGGUGAUUUAUCACUAAUUUAAUUAUGAUUCAUUUGUCAUCAGUAAUGAGCUACAGUGCCAAACAUGGUUUCCACUUUCAAAAAUAAAAUUCUUAUUUUUUUCUGUAGAAUAUUUCCAUUUAAAAUUCUUUAGUUUCUCUCUAAAUUUCAU
rnacentral:lncRNA from 10 species